rnacentral:rRNA from 1 species
AGAGUUUGAUCAUGGCUCAGAUUGAACGCUGGCGGCAGGCCUAACACAUGCAAGUCGAACGGUAGCACAGAGAGCUUGCUCUCGGGUGACGAGUGGCGGACGGGUCAGUAAUGUCUGGGAAACUGCCUGAUGGAGGGGGAUAACUACUGGAAACGGUAGCUAAUACCGCAUAACGUCGCAAGACCAAAGAGGGGGACCUUCGGGCCUCUUGCCAUCAGAUGUGCCCAGAUGGGAUUAGCUAGUAGGUGGGGUAAUGGCUCACCUAGGCGACGAUCCCUAGCUGGUCUGAGAGGAUGACCAGCCACACUGGAACUGAGACACGGUCCAGACUCCUACGGGAGGCAGCAGUGGGGAAUAUUGCACAAUGGGCGCAAGCCUGAUGCAGCCAUGCCGCGUGUAUGAAGAAGGCCUUCGGGUUGUAAAGUACUUUCAGCGAGGAGGAAGGCGGUGAGGUUAAUAACCUCAUCGAUUGACGUUACUCGCAGAAGAAGCACCGGCUAACUCCGUGCCAGCAGCCGCGGUAAUACGGAGGGUGCAAGCGUUAAUCGGAAUUACUGGGCGUAAAGCGCACGCAGGCGGUCUGUCAAGUCGGAUGUGAAAUCCCCGGGCUCAACCUGGGAACUGCAUUCGAAACUGGCAGGCUAGAGUCUUGUAGAGGGGGGUAGAAUUCCAGGUGUAGCGGUGAAAUGCGUAGAGAUCUGGAGGAAUACCGGUGGCGAAAGGCGGCCUCCUGGACAAAGACUGACGCUCAGUGCGAAAGCGUGGGGAGCAACAGAUUAGAUACCCUGGUAGUCCACGCCGUAAACGAUGUCGACUUGGAGGUGUUCCCUUGAGGAGUGG